rnacentral:rRNA from 1 species
GGCAGCAGUCGAGAAUCAUUCACAAUGGGGGAAACCCUGAUGGUGCAACGCCGCGUGGAGGAUGAAGGCCCUAGGGUCGUAAACUCCUGUCAUAUAAGAGUAAGGCAUAACAACUUAAUAUCUGUUAUGUUUGAUAGUAUUAUAAGAGGAAGGGACGGCUAACUUCGUGCCAGCAGCCGCGGUAAUACGAAGGUCCCGAGCGUUAUUCGGAAUCACUGGGCGUAAAGAGUACGUAGGCGGUUUGGUAAGUCAGGUGUGAAAUCCCGGAGCUCAACUCCGGAACUGCAUCCGAUACUGCUAAACUGGAGUAAUGGAGAGGCAGGUGGAAUUCUCGGUGUAGCAGUGAAAUGCGUAGAUAUCGAGAGGAAGACCAAUGGCGAAAGCAGCCUGCUGGACAUUUACUGACGCUGAGGUACGAAGGCUAGGGUAGCGAAAGGGAUUAGAUACCCCUGUAGUCCUAGCAGUAAACGGUGCGCGCUUGGUGUAGGAGGACUCGACCCCUUCUGUGCCGGAGCUAACGCGUUAAGCGCGCCGCCUGGGGAGUACGGUCGCAAGACUAAAACUCAAAUGAAUUGACGG